rnacentral:rRNA from 1 species
GAUGAACGCUGGCGGCGUGCCUAAUACAUGCAAGUCGAGCGAACAGACGAGGAGCUUGCUCCUCUGACGUUAGCGGCGGACGGGUGAGUAACACGUGGAUAACCUACCUAUAAGACUGGGAUAACUUCGGGAAACCGGAGCUAAUACCGGAUAAUAUAUUGAACCGCAUGGUUCAAUAGUGAAAGACGGUUUUGCCGUCACUUAUAGAUGGAUCCGCGCCGCAUUAGCUAGUUGGUAAGGUAACGGCUUACCAAGGCAACGAUGCGUAGCCGACCUGAGAGGGUGAUCGGCCACACUGGAACUGAGACACGGUCCAGACUCCUACGGGAGGCAGCAGUAGGGAAUCUUCCGCAAUGGGCGAAAGCCUGACGGAGCAACGCCGCGUGAGUGAUGAAGGUCUUCGGAUCGUAAAACUCUGUUAUUAGGGAAAAACAAAUGUGUAAGUAACUAUGCACGUCUUGACGGUACCUAAUCAGAAAGCCACGGCUAACUACGUG